AAAUACUCCUUGGUGACCGAUAGUGGAUGAGUACCGUGAGGGAAGGGUGAAAAGUACCCCGGGAGGGGAGUGAAAGAGUUCCUGAAACCGGUCGCAUGCAAGCCGUCAGAGCCUGUGUGGUGAUGGCGUGCCUUUUGAAGAAUGAGCCUGCGAGUUAGUGAUGCGUGGCGAGGUUAACCCGUGGUGGGGGAGUCGUAGCGAAAGCGAGUCCGAUAAGGGCGUGAGUCGCGUGUUCUAGACCCGAAGCGGUGUGAUCUAUCCAUGGCCAGGAUGAAGCGUCGGUAAGACGUCGUGGAGGUCCGAACCCACUUCAGUUGAAAAUGGAGGGGAUGAGCUGUGGGUAGGGGUGAAAGGCCAAUCAAACUCCGUGAUAGCUGGUUCUCCCCGAAAUGCAUUUAGGUGCAGCGUUGCGUGGUUCUUGUUGGAGGUAGAGCACUGGAUGGUCUAGGGGGCUUAUCGGCUUACCGAAAUCAGCCAAACUCCGAAUGCUGGCAAGUGUAGCGUGGCAGUGAGACGGCGGGGGAUAAGCUUCGUCGUCGAGAGGGAAACAGCCCAGAUCAUCAGCUAAGGCCCCUAAGUGGUGACUCAGUGGGAAAGGAUGUGGAGUUGCGUAGACAACCAGGAGGUUGGCUUGGAAGCAGCCAUCCUUGAAAGAGUGCGUAAUAGCUCACUGGUCAAGUGAUUCCGCGCCGAUAAUGUAGCGGGGCUUAAGUUAUCCGCCGAAGCUGUGGCAACCUGUGUGGUUGGGUAGGGGAGCGUCGUGUCAGUGGUGAAGCUGCCGGGUGACUGUGUGGUGGAGUUGAUGCGAGUGAGAAUGCAGGCAUGAGUAGCGUGUGACGGGUGGGAAUCCCGUCCGCCGAUUAUCCAAGGGUUCCAGGGUCAAGUUUGUCUGCCCUGGGUGAGUCGGGUCCUAAGGCGAGGCCGACAGGCGUAGUCGAUGGGUAACCAGUUGAUAUUCUGGUACCGGCUUGUCACCGUCCGUGUCGAGGUGUGUGAUGCUAAGCAUGUGAGCUUGUCUUGGGAGUGUUUUUGAUGCUUCUGGGGUGGGUGAGUGUGUGAACCGAUCAUGUAGUAGGCAAGCUGCGGAGGGACGCAGUGAGGUAGCUCAUCCCCGGUGAUGGUUGUCCGGGGCUAAGUGUGUGGACUGUCUGGUAGGUAAAUCCGCUGGGCGUGAAGGUUGAGGCAUGAUGGGGAGCCCAUGGUUGUGGGUGAGUGAGUGAUCCUGUACUGUCGAGAAAAGCUUCGUGAGCGAGGUGGCGGGUCCGCCCGUACCCUAAACCGACACUGGUGGAUAGGUAGAGUAUACCGAGGCGAUCGAGUGAAUCGUGGUGAAGGAACUCGGCAAAAUGCCCCCGUAACUUUGGGAUAAGGGGGACCUGAGCUGUCGUGCACCCGUGCGGUGUGGUGGCGGUGAGGGGCGCAGAGUCCAGGGGGANNCGACUGUUUANCAAAAACACAGGUCCNUGCGAAGNCGUUAAGNNGAUGUAUANGGACUGACUCCUGCCCGGUGCUGGAAGGUUAAGGGGAACUGUGAGUGUAUGCGUNGCGGNGAANUUAAGCCCCAGUAAACGGCGGUGGUANCUAUAACCAUCCUAAGGUAGCGAAAUUCCUUGUCGGGUAAGUUCCGACCUGCACGAAUGGCGUAACGACUUCUCUGCUGUCUCGACCACAGGCCCGGCGAAAUUGCAUUACGAGUAAAGAUGCUCGUUACGCGCAGCAGGACGGAAAGACCCCGGGACCUUUACUAUAGUUUGGUAUUGGUGUUCGGUUUGGUUUGGUAGGAUAGGUGGGAGACUUAGAAGCGUGUAGGAUAGGUGGGAGACUGUGAAGCAUGCACGCUAGUGUGUUGUGAUGCGUCACGCUAGUGGUGGUGGAGUCGUUGUUGAAAUACCACUCUGAUCGGAUUGAGCAUCUAACCUUGGCCCAUGAUCUGGGUUGGGGACAGUGCCUGGUGGGUAGUUUAACUGGGGCGGUUGCCUCCCAAAG
rnacentral:rRNA from 1 species